UACGAAGGGGACUAGCGUUGUUCGGAUUUACUGGGCGUAAAGCGCACGUAGGCGGACUGGAAAGUUGGGGGUGAAAUCCCGGGGCUCAACCUCGGAACUGCCUUCAAAACUACCAGUCUGGAGUUCGAGAGAGGUGAGUGGAAUUCCGAGUGUAGAGGUGAAAUUCGUAGAUAUUCGGAGGAACACCAGUGGCGAAGGCGGCUCACUGGCCAGAUACUGACGCUGAGGUGCGAAGGUGUGGGGAGCAAACAGG
rnacentral:misc_RNA from 1 species